GCAGAGCUACAGGAAGAACUUUGGCUUUUGGAACACUAGAACCAUGUCAGGAUAACAUACUCCCUUGGAUUAUCAUCGGACUCGCAAGACCAGACUCCAACACGGGCUGAAAAUUUGAAAUGGGACCUGACACUCUUGGACACAGAUGUCGGCUACGGCAGCGGCUUCAAAUACGCUUUGGUGACCAUAUUUCUAAUCGAGAGUUGUGCGAACGAGCCAGACAAACCAGCUGGGAGGAGGACGGAAGCACCCCUUCUCCAUCCGCGUUCAGUUGCUAAAUACGGAUCCACCCCGUAGUCAACAGCCGACAGAGUCCUUCCACAACCACAUACUUAUGCCAAUAAAAGCCACAUCUUUUCUCCUCCAAUCCAAGAAGCCUGGACUGCAGUCACCAUCUCAACACACCAACCAAGAGAAAGGCGGAUGGCUCAAUUCAAUAUGGAAAAUUGCACAAUAAAAGUUCCAGGACAAGAAGGCUGCAUACUGUGAACGUCAACCUUCAGGGCACCGUCCUGCGCAGAAGACUUUCUACCCUAAGAGGGAUGGCUGACCGCAGACACUCACAACCAGCACAGACGCCUCCAACCUCAAACUAGGCCCUUCACAGUUGCUGCACUUACCCACCUUCCCAGAGUUUUUGUGUGGUAAUGACAACUGUAAAUAUAGUAUAAAGUAAUGUAUCUAGUGUCAUGUGUAAUACAUUGUUUAAAUUGU